UUCAAUUGCUCAGUUGUACUAGCCACAUUACAAGUGGCCUAUAGCCAUAUGUGGUUAGCAGCUACCCUUUUAGACACGGCAGAGAGCAUAUCUAUCAUUCUAGAAAAUUUUACGAGACAGUGCUGCUCUAGACUUUAAAAGUGAAGUACUCACAGAAAGUUAGGAUUUAAAAUUAUAAGCUUCCAUCCAUCUAUGCAAGAAGUCCGGAUCCAGACAAUAUCCAAAAUUAAGGUCCAGGGACAGAUUAUAAAUCCAUUUAGCUAAUUUUUCUACCACAGUCAUAUCUAUCAUCAUUGUGUUUAUCCCAAAUAGUUUGUGGUCAUAAGAGCCUUUAUGUGUAUCCUUUAGAUUGGUCUUCUCAGAUGCCAGUUUUCUUGCAUGGCAGAAAAUUCAAACCAAAGUUAACAUGAGUAUUUAAAGGGAAGGCAUAGUGUGAUGCUGACUGAAAGCAGAUCAAUAUGCUCUUGUUUUUAGGCACAACAAAGACGAAGAUGAUAUAAUCUUAUAAGACUGGCUGGUAGUCUGCUUUAAUGGGGGCAACACCAUAGCUUUACAGUCUAGUUCCUCUCAGGUACUCAAUCAGAUAUACAAUGGAAGCCCCAGAGUUACACUCUAUAAUGCAUAAAUGAUGUCUCCUGAGCCUUGAAAAUGUGGAGGCAGAAGUCAUGAAAUACUUGCUUCUAUUAAACAAAACUUUGAGCAACAUUGCAUUCAGCUAGCCCUCCAGGACA
rnacentral:lncRNA from 1 species